ACAGCACCCAGCUCGUCCCUUUUUUGUGUGUGCUUGUGGCCGAGCAGUGAUGAAAUCUUGUGUCCCUGUGGCAACAGGCGCCCUAAGUGCAUAACUGCUCUUGAGAGUGGAUGAACAAGCCUCAAAUGGAACCUGAGAAGAAGGGGGAAAAAGGGAGGGGAGGGAGAAAAUCAAUUUUCCCAGACAGAGGCCGGCUGGUCUAAUGGAGGGCUAAAAGAAGAGGAGGAGGAGAGGACAUAUUUUCCUCUGAUUACCUUCUGUAGCCUCCCUGGCAAACCUCGAAAGCUAGGAUUGCUAGAGCGGCCUCGCUCAUCUGACCUUUUCGCAGAAAGCCAUUGCAUCUCCGGCAGCAUUUUGCAGCUUUAAGGAGCUGUUUCAUGGGAAACAGCAGAGAUGGGAGUUAGCAGAGAGACACAGAGCUUUCUUUUCGCCGGUAGCCGCAGGCAGCGGGGGCUGGAACGGCUGGCUGACCGCUCACCGCUUCACUCCGCGCGGCAGGCGAGUGGACAAGGCGCCGCUGAGCCCCGGGAAGACGCUACGCCGGGGCGAUGAAGUGAUUCCGCUACGGCUCAUUUUACAGGGGCAUAUGGUGUAGCUGCAUGCAACAGCUUUGAUUUAAUUCACAUUAUUAAGAGUUAUUUGUUGAGCAUAUUAUAUCCUAAAUACUGUUUAAUAUUAUUACUUUUGAUAUUUUCUUUUGUUCGCAGGGAUAAAACAUUUUAAGGAAACGUUUUAAUUAAAAAUGCAU